rnacentral:rRNA from 1 species
UUAAGCAUAUCAAUAAGCGGAGGAAAAGAAACCAACCGGGAUUGCCUCAGUAACGGCGAGUGAAGCGGCAAGAGCUCAAAUUUGAAAGCUGGCCCCUCCGGGGUCCGCGUUGUAAUUUGCAGAGGAUGCUUUGGGUGCGGCCCCCGUCUAAGUGCCCUGGAACGGGCCGUCAGAGAGGGUGAGAAUCCCGUCUUGGGCGGGGUGUCCGUGCCCGUGUAAAGCUCCUUCGACGAGUCGAGUUGUUUGGGAAUGCAGCUCUAAAUGGGUGGUAAAUUUCAUCUAAAGCUAAAUACUGGCCGGAGACCGAUAGCGCACAAGUAGAGUGAUCGAAAGAUGAAAAGCACUUUGAAAAGAGAGUUAAACAGCACGUGAAAUUGUUGAAAGGGAAGCGCUUGCGACCAGACUCGCCCUCGGGGUUCAGCCGGCACUCGUGCCGGUGUACUUCCCCGGGGGCGGGCCAGCGUCAGCUUGGGCGGCCGGUCAAAGGCCUCCGGAAUGUAGUGCCCCCCGGGGCACCUUAUAGCCGGAGGUGCAAUGCGGCCAGCCUGGGCUGAGGAACGCGCUUCGGCACGGACGCUGGCAUAAUGGUCGCAAACGACCCGUCUUGAAACACGGACCAAGGAGUCUAACAUCUACGCGAGUGUUCGGGUGUCAAACCCGUACGCGCAGUGAAAGCAAACGGAGGUGGGAGCCCCCUCGCGGGGCGCACCAUCGACCGAUCCUGAUGUCUUCGGAUGGAUUUGAGUAAGAGCGUAAAUGUGGGGACCCGAAAGAUGGUGAACUAUGCCUGAAUAGGGCGAAGCCAGAGGAAACUCUGGUGAGGGCUCGCAGCGGUUCUGACGUGCAAAUCGAUCGUCAAAUUUGGGUAUAGGGGCGAAAGACUAAUCGAACCAUCUAGUAGCUGGUUCCUGCCGAAGUU